GGCGAGGCGGCGAUGGUGUAAGGCGAUGGACUGCUAAUCCAUUGUUCUUUACGGGGCGUGGGUUCGAAUCCCAUCCUCGUCG
rnacentral:tRNA from 1 species